rnacentral:rRNA from 1 species
GAAUUCGGUAAGCGUUGGAUUGUUCACCCACUAAUAGGGAACGUGAGCUGGGUUUAGACCGUCGUGUGACAGGUUAGUUUUACCCUACUGAUGAAGGUCGCCGCAACGGUAAUUGAAUUUAGUACGAGAGGAACCGUUGAUUCAGAUAAUUGGUUUUUGCGGCUGUCUGACCAGGCAGUGCCGCGACGCUACCAUCUGCCGGAUAAUGGCUGAACGCUUCUAAGUCAGAAUCCGUGCCGGAACGCGGCGAUGUUGCCCCGCACGUCGUAGUUGGAUACGAAUAGGCCUCCGGGCCCUGUACCUCAGCAGGCUGGCGACGGCCCCGGGGAGAAGCCCUCGGGAGCCGGCUGGCGGAUUGCAAUGUCACCUCGCGCGGGGAUGAAUCCUCUGCAGACGACUGAUGUGACCAAGCGGGUCGUGUAAGCGGUCAAGUAGCCUUGUUGCUACGAGUCGCUGAGCGUCAGCCGACCUUGGCUCGAUUUGU